AGACUGCAUGGAGAAAUUUGGAGUUGGAACAAGAACAUGACUGCAGAAGAAAGGGAGAAAUGGCUUGUGGAUGCAUGAGGAGCUGUGGGGUUGGGGAACUCGAUGAAGCCACAUCUCUCCAAGUUUGACAUAGAUAGGCUGAGUGGGAGGAAGAAAAAAACCAGAUAUGUGCUACAACUAAACUGCGACUUCGCAAAAUAAGCAUAGAUGGUAGUAUUCCAGAUGUCCUCACUGCUGAGAGCUUUUGCUUGCCGGGAUAGAGCAAUCAUGGUAUGUAACUGAACAAAGAGCCGGGAUAGAGCACACAAGGUGAUUAUCGAGACGGACAACAUCAAGAUGCAAAGAAGAUAUAAA